rnacentral:rRNA from 1 species
ACUCCUACGGGAGGCAGCAGUGGGGAAUUUUGGACAAUGGGCGAAAGCCUGAUCCAGCCAUGCCGCGUGAGUGAAGAAGGCCUUCGGGUUGUAAAGCUCUUUUAGUCGGAAAGAAAGAGUUGCAAUGAAUAAUUGUGAUUUAUGACGGUACCGACAGAAGAAGCACCGGCUAACUACGUGCCAGCGCCGCGGUAAU